ACGAAACAGCUGCCAUAUUCUCCCAAAAGUUUUUCCCCCCAAAUCUUUCCCUCCUCCUUCCUUCCAUCUCCUCCCUCAACGCCACCGAUAGCCACCCACCAACUACCCCACAAGCACCGCCGCCAGUUGCAUCCAUCUCCAUCCACCGUACAACCGUACAACUCCGAAGAGCCCAGCCGUAAAAAGAGGAUUUGCUCAACUGGGCUUACUACCGAUGUCAUCAUUGAAGUUGGAGAGAGGACCUUCCAUCUCCACAAGUUCCCCUUGCUGUCCAGAAGUGGAGUAUUAGAAGAUGUUAUUGGAGAGCUUUAUGACAGUUAAUAGUAUCAUGCUUGGUGGUUUCAUUUUAAUCACAACUACUAGGCCCACUACAUUUGCUUCAGGAAGAAGAUGAAAAUGAACUUGUUCAGAUUGAAGAUAACCUUCUUGAAAAUGAACUGAAGCGAGAACUUAGUCAAGGAUCAAAGGUUCGUCUACAUUUACAUCAAGAUGAAGAUGAACCAAAGCAGAAAUCUAAUCGAAUAUCAAAGCACCGUUGCAAUGGAUUGAGUUGCUAUUUUGGAAGUAUUUUGUGUUAUUUAUUUUUUUUUUUUGUUAUUUUAAUGUAUAUGUUGUAAUGAUUUUAGCAUCUUUUUGUUGCUGUAUCCAACUGGAAUUGGUAGUUAAUGUGUUGAUGCGUUACUUGAUUGCAAUCCAUCAAGAUAGUGCAUUUAAAUUUUUACUAAAGUGUAGCUAACUGGUGUAGUGCAUUUAACCGUUUAUGAGAUGAACAAUUACCCAAACUUAUUCAGCUUGUCAGUGGGUGAGUGACAA